rnacentral:rRNA from 1 species
GUCUAGUCUGCCCACUGAAUUUAAUUUUUAAUGGCCGCAGUAUUUUGACUGUGCAAAGGUAGCAUAAUCAUUAGUUUUUUAAUUAAAAGCUUGUAUGAAAGGCUGGACGAGGUAGAAUCUGUCUCUAUUUAAAUUAAAGUAGAAUUUAAUUUUUAAGUUAAAAAGCUUAAAUGUUAUUAAAAGACGAGAAGACCCUAUAGAUCUUUAUAAUUUAUUAAAUGAAAUUAAUUUAGAAUUAUUUAUUUUUUAUUUUAAUAAAUUAUUUUAUUGGGGUAAUAGAAAGAUUAAAUUAAUUCUUUUUUGUAAUAAACAUUGAUUUAUGAAUAUUAAAUGAUCCAGUUUUACUGAUUAUAAGAUUAAGUUACCUUAGGGAUAACAGCGUAAUUUUUUUAGAGAGUUCAUAUCGAUAAAAAAGUUUGCGACCUCGAUGUUGGAUUAAAGAUUAUUUUAGGUGUAGAAGCUUAAUAAUUUUGGUCUGUUCGACCAUUAAAUCUUUACAUGAUCUGAGUUCAGACCGGUGUAAGCCAGGUCGGUUUCUAUCUUUAAUAAAAUAAAAUAUUUUAGUACGAAAGGACCAAAUAUUAAAUAUAUUUAUAUUUAAUUUAUUGAAUAUUAUUAAAGUUGUAAUUAUUUUGGCAGAUUAGUGCAAUGAAUUUAGAAUUCAUUUAUGUAAUUUAUUUACAAAUAAUACUUGUUUUAUAUAGAUAUUGUUUUUUCUUUAGUAUGUAUAUUAUUAUUAAUUAUUUGUGUUUUAGUGGGGGUUGCUUUUUUAACUUUAUUGGAACGUAAGGUCUUAGGUUAUAUUCAAAUUCGUAAGGU